GGUUAGUGCUGGGAAUAAGAAAAGAAAAAAGUAUGAUUUGUUGUAGUAGUAGAGGAAGUUAUAAAAAAUACUCUGACAGCCGAAGUAUGUAUUAGAAAGGCAAUACAUUAAAGUUUAAUUAGAAAUACUGAGAUUGUUUUGAUAUUAAUUUGAUUCAUGGAGAAUCCUAACAUAACCAAGACUAUACGAAAUGCUCUAACAUUGCUUUGGCACAUCAUGUAGUUGUAUGCUGUACAGUUUCACCUGUUCAUUACUUGUGUGCUCUUUCUUAGUUGAGAAGGUUUCCGGCGUGGAUGCAUGAGGACUGAUAUCCAGUGGUACUUUUGAAUAAUUUACUGUCAAGCCACUUUUGCUCCCUUUCUUCUUCUUCGGUUCAUAGAUUAAAGCUUCUUUUUAUCUGUCUAAACGUAAAUUUACUGUUUCUCUCCUGUAGUAAAUAGAGUUUUUUUUUUUUUUUUGAGGUUGCAUGGCCAUAGUAAGUAAGUUCUUUUUUUUCUCCAAACAGAAAAGGUAAGGAAGUUCUUCUUUCGGAACCACCUUCUCAUGAAUUAUGAAAAUUUCUACACUGUGAUCCACAUAAUUGCCAAUUAAAUAUCUGUCGAAGUAUAAAAAAAUUAUGAAGUUCUGUUCUUAAGACUUCAAUCAUGCUUGAUUUUCACGUUGAAACAUCAAAACUAGUCUCCAGAGCAAAGCUUUUCAUUUCUUAGAGCUAUUCGUAGUCCUGUGAAGAUUUUGAAGACAUCUUGGGCAAAACACAAAUGUUAGGUGUUCUAGAUCUUAAACUAAUGUGUCACAAACGGGUAAUGUGAAUAGAAUAUAUUAGGAAACCAAAUGUUCAUUGCCUGAAUAUAAAGUGAACAACAUUGCUGAAAACUUGUACAACAAAUAUAGAUUGUAGUUUAUCUGGUUUAACAUUGUCUGGAUCCACCAAGACAAGUUGCCAUAUAUCUGUUUAUGGAUUUAUCUGUAUCAGGUAGGUGAUAUACUUCUAUCAGAAACAUCAUUCGUCAUCUGUUUGAAGUUUAAAGAUAUCGCUGUAAUUACCUAUGCAGUGAUGGAUCUUCAAGGGCAGAAAAUGCGGCAAAACUCUUGACAGUAGCUUGGAUGGUCUUCCUGUUGGGAGUAAUUGUAACACUUGUAGGAUGUCAUUUUGUUUUGUGGUUGCAGGAACCAAGUUACUGGAGUCAGUAUGCACAGGCUAUAUGGAUAAAUAGUAAGCUUAAACUUUGAUGUACAAACUUUUUAAGAUGUGCUUUGUGCACAUUCUUGCAAGCUGGUUAUCAACCUGACCUAGGAGAAUGCAGUAUUCCAUGGGUGCAUCUGAUUUUGACUUUUGAAGAGGGUCCAUUGCAAUGAACAUUGACUGAAUCUGUAUGUCUUUGGCUUCAAUGUGAUUAUGCUUCGACUGGCUUUAACUUAUAUUUAUUUGUUCUACCUACAUCAGGGUGAAGGUCUGGGACUUCCGAGUAGUGUACAUUGGACUUAUGACAUCUCUAUGAGUCCAAAAUAGCGACUUAUUGGCCAUUUAAGUUCUUUGGUUCGACAAAUAACUUUUUUCUAUUUGGUAAUUGAUGAGUAGAUUUUUUUUUUUUUUUUUUUUGUGUGUCCUUUAUUAUUGUAAUUUUCCUAUUGAGCAGGCUUGCAUGUAUGCUGGAGCUACUAGAAGAACCUUCUUACAUAUUGUGUCAGAAUCUGCUUCAACUCAAGUUACAGCUGAUAGUUGAAACUGCAGCUACCCUUUCACGUUGCUUAACUACCUACAUCCUCAUUGUAAAGCUGCCUGACAUGGAACGCCUGAAGCAUUUCUGAAUGCCGUUCCAAAUCAGAACCCACUCAAGCACUCUAAUGAUGUCUUGCUUGUGUUCUCAGAACUAGUUUCAGAGGCACUGCCAUUAUGCUGAGGAACUAGCUACAUUUGUCACAAGUAGAAGAAUGAUUGAGUAGUGAAACCGAUUCUAAUUGCUUCUCCAGACCUAGUUUCAUUCUUCAUAAUGCAUUACAUUUGCGCAUUGAGCUCUAGGUAGUCUUG